CCCUCAGCCCACUCCACUUUCCUAUCUCCUCUCAGCUCCAUCUCCUCUCAUCCCACUCUCCUCAGCCCCAUCUCCCCUCAUCCCACUCCCCUCAGCCCCAUCUCCCCUCAGCUUUUCCCAUGGCGGAGCGACUGUAACUAUUGGUGGAAACAGGCAGGAGUUAAUACGCUGGGUGACUAGGAAAGGAAAUCUCAGGACCGUAGCACAGGACUCAUUUUCAUUUUAGAUGUUUAUGCAGAAGGCAGCACCUCCUGGUACAAAGGCAAGCCGUUCCCUCUGUCCCCUCUCCAGGCAACACUGGGAAACGCACCAGCAAACUUGUCCCUGCUCCAGUCCCUUCCCAGCCUUACUGAGGGCUCGUCCACAGGCUCCCAGAGCUUCUGUUUGAUUACAGGAGCUGAAGUUCCACUCUCUGCAAAACUGAGGUAGGAAUGGACACGAACAAAAAGCAUCCCGUCCUGCAUCCAGGGAGGAGAUUACAGUGUGUCAUCAGUCCAGCAGGACCAGGUGGAGGUGUGAUAACCCUGGAGAAGUGACUACAGAUCUUUGAAAACAACCAGAGGACAAGCAAAUCCCCAGAAAGGGAUUACUGUCUUCAUGUAGAUCCUGGAGUGGAAAUGUUCAUUGGUUUUAUAUGAAGCUUGAGAGUGUCAUGUACAAGUAGAAUUCUACAAAACCCAGUUUGGAAGCCAAAUCUCAAAGUGUCCUGGCUCUUAAAAUACUGGAUGUGUCAAUGUUUGUUAUAACUAGAACAUCAGGAACCCAAGGCCUCCAACACCCUGCAAACCUGCAUUAACCUGACACCUUUUACAAGCUUUGAAAAGAAAUCACAGGAAUGCAGGCACAUCCCAGAGCCUGCCACCACAGCAGGAAAGCACCCUGCCAACGUGUUUACUCACUGCUGGGAUGAGCUCACCCAAGAUGAGAAAGUUCCCUUAACCAUUACAGGAAACCAUUUUCCAUCACGGUCCUUUGGGUGUUUAACAAACACCGCAGGAGGAAGCUCUGCCCUCGGGAACUGCCGAGAACACCGAGGGCCCCUGAUGGUGGUGCAGGGGACAGCAGUGCCCAGCUGUGCCCCCUCCUGCCAGGGCACUGUAAAUCACUGUGGGAGCAACACACGGCUGGAGGGGAGGUGAGACACCUCCUGCCCUGGUUCUCUUGUCCUGGAACGUCCCUUAGACUGCAUUUGCCUGGGCUGUGCAUCAGUCACAGCUGCCUUCUCACUGCAAGCACCACAGCAGGGAUGUGUGGGCACAGGGAGCUGUUGUGGUCACACUGUAAAGCAGAGGCAGAGGUGGAACUUGCCCCAGUGAUGCAGAGAGCCAGUUCCUCAGCUCUAUCAAAUCCCCAUCCUGGAAUUGCACAGCCAUAGAUUGUUUCUCAGUGUAGUCGAGCACCAACUAUUUAAGGCAGGGAUUCCCUAUGCAUGUAAUUGUAUGUUAUAUAAUAAGAGUUAUGUGUCUAAUUGUUACUGGGAAAAAAAGAAGUAUAGGAAUAAUAAUUGCUAUGAUUCCUGCCUUCCCUAGUAGUGCCUGUUUUCCUUGAAGUAAUCAGGGACUUGUUGCUAGGUAGUUAAUAUUAAAGGUACCUUAAAUAUUUUAAUGUGUCUAUGCCAGCUGUUUCUAGGCAGCAAUAUUUGUUUAUGAUAUUGUUAUCCAACCCUACCUUAUAUCCUUUAUUCAGUGUAAUCUAAUAUAUCCAUACAGUUACAUUGCAGUCCUGAUACUUUUUUAUUCACAGAAUAGCUUACUGAAGUAACUACUGUUAAGAAUUAUAAAAUACCUCUAAUGUACAAGAUUUAAUCUUAGUCAAGGUGCAUUGGUAGCCACCAGUUCAAAUAUUUGAAACUGAAUUAAAUACUUAAAUAACACAAUUUGAAAUUUGGUAGUGCUUCUGUGCACUUUCAGCAUCAGCAGAUGCUUACAGAAUUCCAAAGUUUUAAAGUAAAUUAUAUGAUUUCAGUCAAAUGCCUAAUUAAGGGUAUGUGUCAUCAUUUCAUCAGUCCUUUGGAAGUAAAACUUGCUGUAUUCUUGGCCAUUGGGCAACAUUGCUUUAGGUUUUCCUUGGUUUAAUCUCAUUUUUAUUAAAAAAAAAAAAUAGAAAAACUCGCCUGGUUUAAAAAUUAUGGCUCUUACUAACAGAUUGUACACUCUGAACUGUGCACUUGGAGAGGUGAGAGACUGCUGAUGACUCCUGUUCUUUGCCACAGAUCUACAUGGGCUGUGGAAAACACAUUAUCUGCCUGCCAACCCCGUGGGAAAUGAGGGAGGGAAUUAUUCCAGACACUGCUCAUUUCUGCAAAUGGAAGGAGCUGAGCUUUCCUGACAAGACAGGAGUGGAUGGGAACUCAAAGUUC